rfam:Carnobacterium inhibens subsp. gilichinskyi strain WN1359, complete genome.
GUGAAGGUUUAUUGUGAGAAAUCGAAUGAUAGGGUAACGCCUUGAAAGGUUUCCUUUGAUACUCCGACAUGCGAAAGUAAGGUGUGCGCCCAAAAUCGUAUGAAACUCGGUGAAGUCGGUCGAAAGAUGCCGUAUUCUAAAGGCUGUGAGUGACACAGAGGUUAGGAACGAAACUGCAUUAGAGGUAGUGUAUGUAUCUGAUAGGCCGGAAGUCAUUAAA